CGUCAAAUCAUCAUGCCCCUUAUGCUCUGGGCUACACACGUGUUACAAUGGCCGGUACAACGAGUCGCCAAUCAGUGAUGAUGCGCAAAUCUCUUAAAACCGGUCUCAGUUCGGAUCGUAGUCUGCAACUCGACUACGUGAAGUCGGAAUCGCUAGUAAACGCAGAUCAGCACGCUGCGUUGAAUACGUUCCCGGGUCUU
rnacentral:rRNA from 1 species